GUUUCUACCGCUGACUGUUUCUACUGCUGAUUCUACUGCCGAAGGUUUCUACUGUCGAUUCUACUGCCAAAGGUUUCUACUGUCGAAAGUUUGUACUGCUGCAGGUUUCUGCUGCUGAGUUUUUCUGCUGCUGAGUUUUUCUACUGCUGAGUAUUUCUAGUGCUGACUGUUUCUAGUGCCAAAGGUUUUUACUGCUGAGUAUUUUUACUGCCAAAGGUUUCUACUGCUGAGUGUUUCUGCUGCUGAAGGUUUCUGUUGCUGAAAGUUUUGACUGCUGAGUGUUUCUACUGCCAAAGGUUUCUACUGCCAAGUGUUUCUACUGCUGAGUGUUUUUUUACUGCUGAUUAUUUUUACUGCCGAAGGUUUCUACUGCUGAGUGUUUCUAGUGUCGGGUGUUUCUGCUGCCAAAGGUUUCUACUGCUGAGGUUUUUUUUACUGCUGAGUAUUUUUUACUGCUGAAGGUUUUUACUGCUGUAUGUUUUUUUUUUACUGCUGAGUAUUUUUACUGCCGAAGGUUUCUACUGCCGAAGGUUUCUACUGGUGAGUCUUUCUA
ensembl:lncRNA